UACGUAGGGCGCAAGCGUUGUCCGGAAUUAUUGGGCGUAAAGAGCUCGUAGGCGGUCUGUCACGUCUGCCGUGAAAACCCGAGGCUUAACCUCGUGGCUUGCGGUGGAUACGGGCAGACUAGAGGUAGGUAGGGGAGAACGGAAUUCCCGGUGUAGCGGUGAAAUGCGCAGAUAUCAGGAGGAACACCGGUGGCGAAGGCGGGUCUCUGGGCCGAUACUGACGCUGAGGAGCGAAAGCGUGGGGAGCAAACAGG
rnacentral:rRNA from 1 species